UGUACUACUACGACGGCCUAGCCAAUCAGAAGGAGGAAAUCUGCCUAACUGUCUUUGUAGGUACCUCAGGAAUAUCUGCUGGCUGCCAAGGUGUGGACACUGAUCUCAUUCCUCCUCUUGAACACUGUAUACAGACCAAAUGGCAGAACUUGAGAUUCACGGCCAUGGUGAAGACACAGGAACUCGAUGAGUCAACAUUAUGGCAUCUUCGUGGAUAC